rnacentral:sRNA from 1 species
UUUGUUUUUAAGCAAGAAGAAUCCCUUUAGAGGAGGAAUUAGGAAAGAAAAAAAAGUCAAACAAAAACAAAAACAGAAGGAGUGGAGCUUUGUCUCUCUCUUUUGUCCCCUGCCUUGCCCUUCCUCCCUAUCCCAUCCCCCUCACUUUCUCUGUUGCUUUUCAUGCCAGUUACUAAAGACUGUAAUUUUAAAACUGAACUGGCUUUUCCAGAGCCUUGAGGAAUGUGCAUCUGCACGUGGAUUUUUCCACAAAAAAAUUGUCCAUGUCUUUUGGAUCUUCUUAGCCAGAAACAAUGAGGCCAGGCACUCAGAGUCCAUCCGUCUUCCCAACUCUUAUUCUAAUUUGUUUGAGAGGCUCAGAAGGGGCUGAAGGGCGUGGUUGUCUUUCACCCUGUCAGACUCUGUUGUUUGGUGAGGUUUGUGCUCCAUUUGUCCGGAUGGUUUUUAUGGUUUCUUUGUUGUUCAUGGAAUAACUUUGAAGGUCAUAAUUCUGUAUCCUCAAGCUCCUCUGCUAUUCCUGCUCAAUGUCUCAAUGGGACUCAUACCACGAGAAAGGGAAGGAAGAAGUUUCCAGCUAGUUAGUUAAGCAAUUUCUCAACAUGUUUGUGGAAGCAUGUGGAAUCUUUCAAGAAAGAAGUUAUGAUCACAAAAGUUCGGAUUUGAGGAGUAUUCUCCAAGACAAUCGAGAAGCAAGCCCUUAGUCAUGCCCAGGUGGGGAGCAGGUCUCUAUCCACUCAUUUCCUGAUCCAGCCCCUUUCCCAGCCACAUUUCUGGCCUCUUCCCUUUCUCUGCAGUCAUCAGCCCAGCCCUCUCCACUAUCAACAGAAAAGCCUGAGACCCCUCAGAGAGCCUGGAAUGUGCUCCCACCGCUGUGAUGUCGUCCCACAUCAUCCAUGUGCUGAAAUCAGGGGCUGGAGUUGGCCCCCAGGAAUGUCACGGCCAUGGGCUUUGAGACACUCUUCUUAUGGGCCUUUCACCCAAUCCAGACCUUGCCUGCUCUUCAGAGCUGCUUGAAGGAUUUUGCUACAGAACUAUGGACAUUUAAAAAAUGUCUAACCUUGUGUCAGUUUAUAUUUGUAGAAAGCUUCAUAAGGUGCUUUUCCAUAUGUUAUCUCAUUUGAUCAUUUCCACAACCCCAUAAGGUAGAUAAAACAUAAAUUUUUAUUUACAUAUUAAAGAAAAUUGAAGCCCAGAGGAGACUUUUGAUUCAUCCCAGGCUUCACAACAAAUAGUGUCAGGGAGAGAACUUGAACCAAUCCUCUGACUUCACAUUCAGGGUUCUUCCCAUUACUUUGGCUCCCAGAUAAGACUACAGUCUUCUCAAAGUCAGAGUGUUAAUGUUCCAACCCCAGGGGGUGAGUACAUUUCCAGAAUUUAGGGAUGCUUUAAAAGCCAUUGCUGAAUUGAAUUUUAUUUCUCCUGAUCACUACAGAUAAUGCUCAUGCAACUUUUCUGAGAAGCAGGCGAUGCUAAUGUGCCCCUAUUUGUUAUUGUUCAUUAGACCCUUCUUAUGACUCAGUCAGAAGAGGAGCAUGGGGCAAUAACAUGAAUUCUGGCCUCAACAAAAGUAAGUAAAUGUUUUAUAGUUCUUUGGAGGAAAGCAUGUUUCUGAGGACGGGGUUGGAGAACAGGAUCAUGAGAUACAGGAGAGCAGCAAGCAUUUGUUUCCCUGCUUUUUGAGUAGACAUCAAAAUUAUUUGCCAAUUUAGGGCCUUUCCAUGAUACCAGUCCUUGAAAGACGACAUGGGAUUUUCGUUUAGAUUUUUGAGUUUUGUUUCAUUGCACUUGGUUUUAGAACAUUGGAAGUUUGAAGGUUUUCUUGAGACAAGGUUCUGUACCAAUGAAUGGUCACUGUCACUGGGUUUGGCUUCUGUUAUUUAAACCAAGAUAAUGACUCUCUAUAACUUUGCUCCCAUAACUGUUGAGGCUAAGUCAUACCAAUUUCCCCAUCCCCCUUGAUACUGAGUAGACUUCCUCAUAUCAUCAUCUCACCACUUGGUGAAGAAAUUGAUGUCUCAGAACCCUGCCAUCUCCUCAACAGGUUAUCUUCUGUCCCUGAUAAGGAGAUGCCGGGGGGUCUGGGACAUCAGUUUUUCCACCAAGUGGUAAGAAGAUGAUAUGUCGAAGUCUACCCAAUAUCUCCCAAUAAGAGAAUAAGGGGAAAGAAUGACUCAUGAACUCCUGUACCAGAAAUCAAUCUUGCCAUGCCUAGGAAGCAAAAUAUGAAGCACAUGAACAGGUGGUAAAGGGAAUUCUUUCAAGAAAGAGGUUGGGGUUACAAAUUAAUGCACAAACAAUAACUGAGACCCCUUCCAAUUAUGUGUAUUAAUUAUUUACUUACUCUGCACAUGACAUUUGGCAAUAUAAGAUUCACAAAGAUGAAUCAGAUAUGCACUGGUCCCAUAAAUGGAAGAGAGAAAUCACACACACGCAGAACUCCUUUCAUCUGGUUGGUAUCAAGGAAGGCUUUGUGGACCUGGUAGCACUUGAGUUAGCUCUGGAAGGAGAGGCAGGAUUUGGACCUGUGGCGAUAUGGGCUGGGGAAGACAUCAGCUUGGCAUGUCUGACAGUCAGUGAGGAUCUCAGGUUCCUGGAGUUUAGGAUGUGUGAUGCAGAAGAGGUUUGGAAAGGUAAGAAACAGAAUUGUAAAUGAUGCUAUGAAGAUAGGCUUUAGUUCUUUAGGCAAUGAAGAGUCACUAAGGUUUUGAACAGUGACGCUUAUGGUGGGUUGUGGGGAGACAGAAGAGUAAUGAGGACACUAGUCAGACUAAGCCACAAACCAUGCAAGAAGCAAUACAGAUCUGCGAUGCAGAAGUGAUCGUGGGAAUGGAAAGGGUGUGUGAGAGAUACCAAGGCGGAAACUCACAAGACAGGGACACCAGAAAGCAGCUAUCUUUGCUCAGAUGUCACUUUCUCAGUAAGGACUUCUCUAACUUUCCAAUUUGAAAAUGAAAUCCACAGCCUCAGUACCAUCAGUGAUGCUAUACUGUUGGUUUACUUUUUAAAAAUUUGAAAAUGAAAAGGUGACAUUUAAGCAAAGACAAAAUUUUAAGAAUUUAAAAAUGCAUUUAUUAUUGUCUCUCCCAUUGGAAUGCAAGUUCUACCAUGAACUGCUUGUUCAUUCCUGAAUCUCCAGCCUGGAGAACAGCGCCAGCACAUAGUAGAUUCUAGGUAAAUGUUUCUAAAAUAAGAUGAAUAAAUGAGUCAGUGGAGAGUGGGUGAAGGAAUGAGUGAGAAAGCACAUCUGUCAAGACGUCUCGCUCCCCUCGGGGAGCUGGGUCCUACUCACUGCAUUUCUUUCCCUCUUGCCACAGGUCCUCCCCUUGGAGGGGCACAAACAAUCAGUAAGAAUACAGAGCAACGGCCCCAGCCAGAUCCGUAUCAGAUCCUGGGCCCGACCAGCAGUCGCCUAGCCAACCCUGGAAGCGGGCAGAUCCAGCUGUGGCAAUUCCUCCUGGAGCUGCUCUCCGACAGCGCCAACGCCAGCUGUAUCACCUGGGAGGGGACCAACGGGGAGUUCAAAAUGACGGACCCCGAUGAGGUGGCCAGGCGCUGGGGCGAGCGGAAAAGCAAGCCCAACAUGAAUUACGACAAGCUGAGCCGGGCCCUCCGAUAUUACUAUGAUAAAAACAUUAUGACCAAAGUGCACGGCAAAAGAUAUGCCUACAAAUUUGACUUCCACGGCAUUGCCCAGGCUCUGCAGCCACAUCCGACCGAGUCGUCCAUGUACAAGUACCCUUCUGACAUCUCCUACAUGCCUUCUUACCAUGCCCACCAGCAGAAGGUGAACUUUGUCCCUCCCCAUCCAUCCUCCAUGCCUGUCACUUCCUCCAGCUUCUUUGGCGCCGCAUCACAAUACUGGACCUCCCCCACGGGGGGAAUCUACCCCAACCCCAACGUCCCCCGCCAUCCUAACACCCACGUGCCUUCACACUUAGGCAGCUACUACUAGAAGCUUACUCAUCGGUGGCCUUCUAGCUGAAGCCCAUCCUGCACACUUACUGGAUGCUUUGGACUCAACAGGACAUAUGUGGCCUUGAAGAGAAGACAAAACUGGAUGUUCUUUCUUGUUGGAUAGAACCUUUGUAUUUGUUCUUUAAAAACAUUUUUUUUUAAUGUUGGUAACUUUUGCUUCCUCUACCUGAACAAAGAGAUGAAUAAUUCCAUGGGCCAGUAUGUCAGUUUGAAUUCUCAGUCUCCUAGCAUCUUGUGAGUUGCGUAUUAAGAUUACUGGAAUGGUUAUGUCAUGGUUCUGAGAAAGAAGCUGUACAUUUUCUUUAUGUUUUUAUGACCAAAGCAGUUUCUUAUCAAUACACGGGUCUCAUUAUGGGGUUCAGUAUGACACAGAAUCAUGGACUUAACCAGUCAUGUUCUGGUUUGAGAUUUAGUGAAAAUAGAGGUGGGAAGCUUAUAAUCUAAUUUUAGGAGGACCAAAUUCAGUGGAUGGCAACUGGAACAUUGAUUGUAAGGCCAGUGAAGUUUUCACCCAACUGGAAUUUGAUGGAAAGAAGGUUUGUGUGUUUAAGACGCCAAGGGCAUUGCAGAAUCCCUCUCAGUGGACAGUAUGCACUCAGCUGACCACUCUCUCUAGAAAUAGUCAAGAUAUGAACUAAGAAAUUUUAAUGCAAAUACAUACAUUCCUGAAAGACGGGGAAUUAAAUAACUAAUUUUUUUUUUAAUGAUGACAGUAGUCCCAGAACUUGGAAAAGUUGUAGGGAUUUCUAAACUCAAGCAGAUUCGCAAGCGCUGUGCGCUUGUCAGACCAUCAGACCAGGGUCAACCAAUCAGAAGGCAACUUACUGUAUAAAUUAUGCAGAGUUAUUUUCCUAUAUCUCACAGUAUUAAAAAUAAAUAAUUAAAAAUUAAGAAUAAAUAAACGAGUUGACCUCGGUCACAAAAGCAGUUUUACUAUCAAAUCAAUCGCUGUUAUUUUUUUUAAUGUAAUUUGUACAUCUUUUAUCAUCUGUACAUUUGGGCUGUUUGUAUGUUUUUAUAGCUGGUUUUUAAAAAGCAUAAUAUGACUAUAGCUGAAAAGGAAACAGGGCUGUUUAAGUCACUGACUUACGAGAAAGCAAAGCACUGGUACAGUUAUUUAACAGGCAUACACAAGCAAGGAAAGAUAAUCCAUUUAGAUCUUUAAUGCUUUGGAAAUGUGUGUAACAGUACUGCAAUAAUCACAGCUCUGGGAAAAACAACGAAACUUUCCCUUGUGGAGAGGAGGGAUUUUCCUGCUCUAUAUAUGCAACAUAUUUUUAGACAUUAAAAUAUAUAUAAUUUUGCAGGUAAUUGUUGACUUUUUUAACUAUAUUAAGUGUUAAGCUGACAACUGUCAAUGAAGACCAUGUUGUAAAAUAAUUUGACUAAAUAAAUGGUUCCUUCUCUCA